GUCAUAUGCUUGUCUCAAAGAUUAAGCCAUGCAUGUCUCAGUACAAGCCAUAUUAAGGUGAAACCGCGAAAGGCUCAUUAAAUCAGUUAUGGUUCCUUAGAUCGUACUCACAAUUACUUGGAUAACUGUGGUAAUUCUAGAGCUAAUACAUGCAAACAGAACUCCGACCGGAGACGGAAGGAGCGCUUUUAUUAGAUCAAAACCAAUCGGUGGCGGGUUCGCUCGUCAUCGUACAACUCGGUGACUCUGAAUAACUUUACGCUGAUCGCACGGUCAUCGCACCGGCGACGCAUCUUUCAAAUGUCUGCCUUAUCAACUGUCGAUGGUAGGUUCUGCGCCUACCAUGGUUGUAACGGGUAACGGGGAAUCAGGGUUCGAUUCCGGAGAGGGAGCCUGAGAAACGGCUACCACAUCCAAGGAAGGCAGCAGGCGCGCAAAUUACCCACUCCCGGCACGGGGAGGUAGUGACGAAAAAUAACGAUACGGGACUCAUCCGAGGCCCCGUAAUCGGAAUGAGUACACUCUAAACCCUUUAACGAGGAUCAAUUGGAGGGCAAGUCUGGUGCCAGCAGCCGCGG
rnacentral:rRNA from 1 species